UCCUCUGUAUUCCCCAGAUUAACGUUUCUUUGCCUCUUCCCUAUCUUCUUCUUCUAUGAAAUGUUAUCUCUUGCAUUUUCCCUAUCUUCUUCUUGUCUCUCAUUGAAACCCCAACUCCGCUCCUCUGUAUUUCCCAGAUUAACGUUUGUUUGCCCCUUCUUUCUCUGUUUGUUCGGAUCGGCGUAUCCAGCUCCGAGAUGUUUCUCGUGGUUUUUUGCUCUUUCGUUUUAUCUCUGUUGUUUGUUAUCUUUCCUCCUUUUCAUCCAAUGCUUUCUCUAUCACGGGCGACGCUUCUUCUGUCCGUGGUAUCCACAACCUCAUGGAUUGUUAGUCUCUCGCUCGGCCCCUCGGACUCAUUGGCGAUUCGGAUUUUGGAAUGAAGAUGGAAGUUAAUUGGUUGGGGUUGUGUUGGAUCUCGAUGGCACCAGCAAUUCAAGGGCUGUCAAUGGUAGUCGAUUGACUCAUUGGCGAUUCUGUUUUUCCACUAAAGAUGGAAGUUAAUUCAUUGGGGUUGUUUUGGAUCUCGAUGGCGCCAGGGAUUCAAGGCUGUCAACGGUAGUCGAUCGGCGAGGUGGUUCUGGUCCCUUUUUUCAGCUCGCAGAAGAACUAUAUGUCACAGAAGAGGUUGAGACCAGUGUGCAGGUUGCAGAAGUCUUGGGGAAGUUUUUUGUUGUGUUAUUGAGGUUGGGACUAGAGUGCAGAUUGCAGGACUCUUGAGGAAGUAUUUCGUUCUGUUAUUGAGCUAAGUUUUGGGUGGACACUUAUUAGUUGCUGGGUUCCACUAUUUUGUGUUUGUUGAGACCAGAGUGCAGAUUGCAGGACUCUUGAGGAAGUAUUUCGUUCUGUUAUUGAGCUAAGUUUUGGGUGGACACUUAUUAGUUGCUGGGUUCCACUAUUUUGUGUUUGUUGAGACCAGAGUGCAGAUAGCAGGACUCUUGACGAAGUAUUUUGUUCUGUUAUUGAGGUUCAGUGCUCCGGUGGAUGAAAAUGAGCCUCGUCCAAAUUUGUUAAGGAUGACAACUAUUGGAAAUGGUCCUCCAGAAUCAAUAUUUUGAGCAGGUCCUCCAGAAUCAAUAUUUUACUGAGGAACUUCAUCUCGAAUAGGUGUUCAACAUCUAUGUUGGUGGCUAGGUACUGGGUAGACACUGGUUAGCUGCUGGUUUCCGAUAAAAAUCCUUACUAGCAGCAAGUUAAGUUAAAUACUCUUUUUUCAUAUCUAU